CAAUCUCUUUUGACAAUAACUCUCUUACUGUCUAUCCGCCAUAGCCAUCGGCUCUUCCUCAUACAUCGUCUCACCAAGCUGAAAAGUCGAUGCUUCAACCACACGAGAGGAGUUUGACAUACAUUUUCUUAGCACAAAGACAUGAAACAUUGAAUGGAUAAAAGUCAUCUAACAGGGAAGUGUCAAAUGGUCUGAUCCUAAUACAUAGCCUCCCUGGAUAAAGAUUAUUUGAUAAAGGAAUGGCAUCGCCUGCUUUACAAGGCCUCAUAUGGAGCCAUCUGAAUAUUUAUUGAAAGUUGUUGUAGCAAGAGAUGAAAUCCGAUGCCAAGUUCCAACCAUAUUCACAAUGCUUCCAGGAAAGAUUUCUGAAAGUGCGAAGUGGAACUCGAUUCUUUAUCAAAGGUGAUGUUCACUGGAACACCAUGAAAUCAUAUGAAGUCUAUUCACAUACAUUUGUGAAUGCAUUUCCUAUUAUAUGUAGUAUAGACAACAUGAAGGGUGCAAAAGUUGAAAGAUUUUAUGUAUCUGACAGUCACGGGUAGCUCCAUCACAAAGUCCAUAGCAAUCCUUAUACUUUUCCACUUCGGAAUCCCGAGCAAUUUUAGUAGGCUAGCAGGUCUUUAUUCCAAAUUAACAAGCUAAAUAAAUAGAAAUAAAACAAUUUUUUUUCUUCUUCAUACUCAUACAAUUUGCUUCAGGUCACGAUAUAUUUCAGUGAAUCCAAAGUGUAUAGUAUAUUUUGAGUGUGGGCUUCCUCAAGAAAUAACCCAUUUUAGUCCAUCUGCAUCUAUUGUACAUAGUUGGCUAUCUAGCCGGAGAACGCCGUCCCUGCCAAGAAUCAUACCAUUACUUUUACUAGUUAGGACAUUAUCUCAUUAUUUGCAUAACCUCACAUUCUCAUAUUGAUAUCCUUAUGUGUUCGGCCUACAAAUAUUUAACUUCAACACAAGUCGAUGGUGUUCCCGAAUUUUCUGGGCUAAAACGAAUAUCUGCACUUCUAGUGCCUAUCUUUAACUGAAAGGCAGGAGUUGUAUGUACCAACUACCCAGGAAUUUCUACUCUGUGUAUCAGUCACCAUAUUGACCCGUUUCAUAUAAUAUAAAAUAGGACAAUCAUAGUUGUUGAGUGAACUACAUAUAUCGGCAUUGCCAAGGGUUCGAAUCUCUCUGCUAAAAAAUUUGUACAUGAAAUUCUUAUGGUUGGUGUCAAUAUAUAGAUUUUCUCAUAUAAGCAAUGUCUCCAAUCUUCACAUCCAAUAUCGCUGUAGUUAUUAGUCGUCAUACAAACAUCUUAUGAAAAAAUAUACCCUAAUCCCCAUCUCAAAACACCAAGGACAUUGUGAAUCUCUCAGAUUCUGAUUGUUAGAAUAACAUUGUGCAGUGAGAAACAUUUUUUUUUUUGAAAUCUAAAAGUUCUGCUCACUUUCCUCCAUCCACUGAUUUUCUUCUUGUUUUUUUCUUGGUCAGUGGCCACUAUUCGGAAGAAACCUCACAUGAAACUUUUUUACUAGUCUGCGAAGCCCAAAAGUAGUGACUCUAUGCAGGAGUAAUGGACCUUGGCCAUUUUUGAAUUGCUCCUAUUUUCUUUGUAUCCAUUAAAAUAUUAUUCUUAGAUACAAUAAGCAUGAGCAAUGUCAUUUUGUAUAGCUGGAAUUUGCACUUAGAGAGCUCGAUAUAAAGUUGAUGGUUCCACAACAUUUGCAAUAUGAUCCUUGAUAUAUAUUCCUUAUGUUCUCCCUGGCGAUGAGAACAUUCCAUAACAUCAUCAAUAAACACUAUAGUAAUAACUUUUCUUGAAACAACUUGAACUUCUUAUUCAUUAUCUCCAUAAACAUAGUUGUAGUAUCGGUUAGUUUUAAAGACAUGUUUUGGAAUAUAGUUUUCUCUAGUUUUAAGCCGAUAAUAACUAAGCCAAAAAUCGUCGUUAGAAAUGGGAGGCUCCAUGUAAUUGAUCAAACAUGUCAUCUUUAUCAAAUAACGAGUACUUAUCAUGUAUUAUUACCUUCUCAACUAUCUGAGUCAAAGCACAAUCUCAAGGACCCGUUCUAUAUUUUUUUUUUCCACAAAAAUUAUGAAUACCCCAUGGUGAUACAAGUGGUUCUCCUAUAAAGUCAUUCCCAGUAGAUCCAACGAGUAUUUCUUUAUCUCUCUCAACUCCACCAGUGUCUAGGAUAUGGAGAUAUCGUCAUGGGCUAUAUGUUUGUUAUUAUAUCAAUACCAAAAUCUAUUUCUUUUAUAGGUGGUAGUUGAGGAAAGUCAGUCUACAUGAAGCAUAAUCAACCAAAUUCCCUCACUAAUUAUACCUUUCAAAAUUGAGUGUUUGGUCUCUUAAUCCUUUACCAUAAUAAGAGACCCUCACAAAAUGUUUUUUUUUUUCGUUUAUAGAACUAGUAAGUCAUUAUAAAAGAUAUAAACUUACUCAUCUUUGUAACGCUCCUGCGUUAUUUUUUUCUGGACUAAAAUAGGUUCAAUGGGUAUCUCCACAACUAUCUUCACUGGAAAGCAAGCAAUUCGUCGAAAUAGAUAACCCAUCUACGUCUGAUGUCAUAUCGGAAUUGACCACAUCGAGUAGAUUAAAAUCUAAUUAUUUAGGAUAUCCCUUCUCUUAAUUCGAAUCUGACAAGCUUUAUACCCAUGUUAAACUAACAGGGCGUCAUCCAUAGGGCUGCCAAUGCCAAAAUGAUACCUCAAUAGGUUAAGAUGUCCUUGAAUUCUAACACAUCGGCUAGUAUUAUAUCUACACUGAAAGAUUUUCUACUUUUGACCUUCUUGGGUUAAUCCUUGGUUGCAUGUUUACCAUAUCCAUGUUUUAAAUCCUUUGGGCAAGUAAAAUUGUCACAAAAAUUGGUCAAAGUCUUUUGUAUAAGAUGUUGUUGUCUGGUUCAAACAGUAAACAUCCCUUUCGCAAAGCUCUAAGCUUGAGAUGUCCUGUAUCUAGCCAACUGAUAAAGUCUAGUGACAUACAUUGGCACAUCUGUCAUCUAAAUCAAUUUCAUAAACACCUAGGAGGCUCACGCUUAACUUUCAGAAAGGAAAUCAUCGAUGAAGACCUUGGUGAACUUGUUCCCCAAGUGAAUGGUGUUGCUCGAGUCAACCUUAUUUACAAUACAAUAGCAUACAAUAUGCUGGUCAUGACCUCUACUCUGUAUGGCAUUUAUCUAUAGACCUCUCACUGGAUCAUCCCAUGGCUCCAAAAGUUUUGAGUAUUUCAUUGAUGAAUCUUUAUCAAAAAUCUUUUAAGGAUCUUUGCACUAUUUGAACCAAUGAACUCUGAAGAUUUUAUCUUUAGAAACUCUCAAGGAUACAUCUUUCCAGGAAGAUCUGAAUCUUUGUAGGUGCCUGAAGCUGGUCUUGGGCCCUAUUUACUACCUGACUCUACGUCCAUUAAUCUCCCUAGCUCGUUAUCGGAAGAUAAGUGUCUUAAUAGUAACACUCCCAAGCUGCUAAAUGGGCGGAGUAGUACUCUUUCCCGAAAAUAGAUCUCUUACAGGUCACAUGAGCAUGAAAAUCGAUCUUAGAGGCAUAACAACAUCUUUCUUGGACUUUCCAACUACAUUUUGUUCCCCUUAAUUGCGGAGGGGGGUGUGGCCCUUGAUGCCUCACGAACUAUUGGACGAGUCUUGUUAUUAGAUGGUCUAAGUGCAAGACAUACGAUAGAAAGAUAAACAAAGUUAUAUUCACCUAGUUGGCUCUAUCAGUUGCACACAUAAAGGAGGAAUGAGAAAGAAGGACAGACACAUUCUAUCACGCCCUUGCAGAAUCACGAUUAUAGAAAUGGCCGGCAACAUAAUCAUAAUUGAGAUUCUACUACUACUGUGUGCUCCAUAGUCACAGAAUUAACCUGGCUUUGAUACCAACUUUGUCAAGACCCAAAAUAGGAUCAUGACCGGCGCUAAGGAGUUUAGGACUCCAAAGCAAGCCUCGUCAGAAUUCUACAAAAAAUCGGGUAGAGUUUCCUCUGUUUUUGGGCCUAUCAAGAAAAUUCUCUGUCUCAAAUCAACAGCACCACAACCAACACAUCAAUCACACCAACACAAUCCAUCACAAACCAUCAACAAGUCACCAACACCAGCCAAUAACAAAAUAAAAUCCAUCUCCAAAACAUGAGAGUGAGUUCAAAUACUCCACAAAUCCAAAAUAAUGAAAAAAGACUCAAAACUCUAAAGACAUGACUAUGGAGCAACUUUAAGCGUUUGCAAGAAAUAGAACAAAACAAAUAAAUAAACUCCUGCCCAAGCGAACAAAUGCGAGGGUCACCAGAAAAAUAUUACCUCUAGCUAACGUAAUUCUCGUUGUCACCUGCGUUCUCUGAAAAAUAAUAUCAAGGAGUGAGACGCUAUCUCAGUGAGUAAUAACACUUAAC